GGUUGGGGUGGCGGGUUGGAACGAAAAACAUCACCACCAGGUUAUGUAUGUCAUCGUUGUAAGGUGCCUGCACUCCCAACAAAUGGCGACUUAAAGAUGAAAGAAUGGUUGAAGAUCAUAGACAUGGAAAACUGGGGAAACUUAAUGAAUGCCCCACUCAAACUACACGUAGGGAAAUCUUCAGCUGAGUAUAUCCCGAGACACAUGAGGGGGAAAUUAGAAACUUUGAGAGUUCAAUAUAUUAACACGAA